rnacentral:rRNA from 1 species
GAUGAACGCUGGCGGCGUGCUUAACACAUGCAAGUCGAACGAAGCAUUUGCGACAGAUUUUUUCGGAAUGAAGUUGCUUAUGACUGAGUGGCGGACGGGUGAGUAACGCGUGGGUAACCUGCCUUGUACUGGGGGAUAGCAGCUGGAAACGGCUGGUAAUACCGCAUAAGCGCACAAUGUUGCAUGACAUGGUGUGAAAAACUCCGGUGGUAUAAGAUGGACCCGCGUCUGAUUAGCUAGUUGGUGAGAUAACAGCCCACCAAGGCGACGAUCAGUAGCCGACCUGAGAGGGUGACCGGCCACAUUGGGACUGAGACACGGCCCAGACUCCUACGGGAGGCAGCAGUGGGGAAUAUUGCACAAUGGAGGAAACUCUGAUGCAGCGACGCCGCGUGAGUGAAGAAGUAAUUCGUUACGUAAAGCUCUAUCAGCAGGGAAGAUAGUGACGGUACCUGACUAAGAAGCUCCGGCUAAAUACGUG